rnacentral:rRNA from 1 species
GACGAACGCUGGCGGCGUGCCUAAUACAUGCAAGUCGAACGCAGUGGGGACGGGUGAUUAACACGUGGGUAACCUCCCAUCAGAGGGGAUAACACUUGGAAACCGGUGCUAAACCGCUACUGAAGUAUGGACCCGCUGUUCAUUAGCUAGUUGGUGAGGUAACGGCUCACCAAGUCCACGAUGCAUAGCGGGCCUGAGAGGGUGAUCGGCAAAACUGGGACUGAGACACGGCCCAGACUCCUACGGGAGGCAGCAGUAGGGAAUCGUCGGCAAUGGACGAAAGUCUGACCGAGCAACGCCGAGUGAGUGAAGAAGGUUUUCGGAUCGUAAAACUCUGUUGUUAGAGAAGCGGUAUCUAACCAGAAAGCCACGGCUAACUACGUGCCAGCAGCCGCGGUAAUAC